rnacentral:lncRNA from 1 species
AUGAGCAAAUCCAGCCAUAAUUAACUUAGAAAAUUGCCUACGAUUAAUUUUUUGGAUUGUUGGAAUAUUAGGCAAGUUCAUGGUUAAUUCCAACAAAUAAUUCAUGACUAUAACAGAAGAUAACAUGCAAUACUCUAGAAUCUAGAAGAGCAACCGAACAUGCACAACAUCACCGCGCAAGAAGCAGCAACUACACCGAUGAACAUUAACAAAUCGCGAGUAACGUAUUAUUCGUUAGUUGCAGCAGGAGCGACUGUGUUGAUGAAGAUGUUGGCGAAGAUUCUUUGUUGAUGGCGACGAAGACGACGAUGAGUAGCAGUGCUCGACUUGGACGAUAGACGACCCGUGGUGAAGAAUUUGAGCAGUCGCGCGAAGCGCUUCCAAAAAACCUAAUUCGUCCUCUUUCGUGCAGGAUCGCAAAGACGAACGAUUCCGGAGACCUGAUCUCUCGCACGCCGAUGCAUGCCGACGCUCAAGAUGAGGUAGACUACGACGGCAACACAAGUUGUGAGGCGAGGCAAAAUCAUAGAUGUUUU